rnacentral:misc_RNA from 1 species
UAUUUAUCCAUUUUCUAAAUCGAAGUAACUUGAAUCAUUUAUAUCCCUAGUUUCCACCAACUCGACGAGUUAAGAGUCAAAUGGGCUUGGAUUUAGCUAUAGUUUUUAAGCUCUGGGGCUGUGGUCCAAGCCUUGGAUGUAAAGGAUCACUGGAUCACUGCAGCUUGAUUGUUUCUUCUGAUCCUUUUCAAUCUUGCAUGUUCACAUAAACAAAUUUCAUUAGCCUGUUGGGCCAUAUACCACAGAUAACUAAACAUAAAAAUUCACUGAAUGUCAAUAUGACUUGGAACAUGAUAAGGGAAUUCAAUGCAUAAACAGCAGCUACGCGAGUUGCCUUAAUUUCAGAACAGAUGGCUUUAUUGACAUUACCACUAGGCUUUCUACAGUUUCUUUUCAAAUUAGUGUUUAUGCACAAGCAUAUUCAAGAAAUAAUUUGAGUUUGGUUAUUGAAAAUAACAAGUUAGAACAGACUAGACACAUGAAUUAUUAAGAGAAUGCUUCAACAACAGCACAACCGACACAAUAUAUAAAACUUCUAAGCAUAAUCAAAUCUCAAGAUUUUGCACAUAGAUGAGCAAAGGAACCAAUGGUUCAAUGUAAUUGUCCAGAUUGUAGCAGAUUCAUACCAGAAAUAAGAAAUGAAUAUACAUCCUCAAAACUAUACCUGCCUUGUCCCUUAUUAAAAAUUUUCCUUUCAGAAGAACAGUUCAACAAUGGACAGGCUAUUUACCCAGUAAUAAGCAAGUUUUCAAGAAGAUGAUG